rnacentral:rRNA from 1 species
GACGAACGCUGGCGGCGUGCUUAACACAUGCAAGUCGAACGGAAAGGCCCUGCUUUUGUGGGGUGCUCGAGUGGCGAACGGGUGAGUAACACGUGAGUAACCUGCCCUUGACUUUGGGAUAACUUCAGGAAACUGGGGCUAAUACCGGAUAGGAGCUACUGCUGCAUGGUGGGGGUUGGUAAGUUUCGGCCGUUGGGGAUGGACUCGCGGCUUAUCAGCUUGUUGGUGGGGUAGUGGCUUACCAAGGCUUUGACGGGUAGGCGGCCUUGGAGGGUGACCGGCCACAAGGGUACUGAGAUACGGACCAGACUGCUACGGGAGGCAGCGGUGGGGAGUAUGGCACAAUAGGCGGAAGCCAGAUGCAGCAACGCCGCGUGCGGGAUGACGGCCUUCGGGGUGUAAACCGCUUUCGCAGGUGACGAAGCGUGAGUGACGGUAAUGGGUAAAGAAGCACCGGCUAACUACGUG